UGGGGUGUAUGACAGUUCUCAUUUUAAGUCUAGAUAUAUGACACUAAACUAUGUAGAGCAAAGUCAUGUACAAUAUAUUCUAGUUGUCAUGUGUGUAUAGCUUUGUUUCACAUCAAUUCUGAGCGCAUGAUGCUACUUCUUGAGACUAAUGAAUAUUUUAAGCAUACAUGGCCGCAUGCACUAGGGUUGCUUUUUACCAAGUUUACAUCCUAUGCUAAUCAAGGUUGUUAACUAGGCAGACGGUAUGCAAAUAUUAUUUUAUUUGAUUUUU
rnacentral:lncRNA from 1 species